AUAGCGUAUAUUAAAGUUGUUGCAGUUAAAAAGCUCGUAGUUGAAUUUCUGGCCAGCGCUGUUCUUGGCUCUCUGAGUCGGCUCAGUGUUUGGUCAUCCGUAUGGGAAGCUAGCUCGGCCUUCACUGGUCGGCUAGUGGAUCAUACACUUUACUUUGAAAAAAUUAGAGUGUUUCAGGCAGGCAAUUGCUUGGAUACUUCAGCAUGGAAUAAUGGAAUAGGACUUUGACCUAUUUGUUGGUUUCUUCGAGGUCAAGGUAAUGAUUAAUAGGGACAGUUGGGGGCAUUCGUAUUUAAUUGUCAGAGGUGAAAUUCUUGGAUUUAUUAAAGACGAACUUAUG
rnacentral:rRNA from 1 species